UGGCCGUACAGCAGACUACUUGAGAUCUUCCAUUCGAGAGAUUUCCGAGUAUUCUGCGAUGCAUGGAAGAGCAAAAACGAACUGACCAGGUUUCCCUUUGAUUCUAUCAUAAUCGAAGGGUUACAGAGUCAUUUUACAGUU
rnacentral:snoRNA from 1 species